GAUGAACGCUGGCGGCGUGCUUAACACAUGCAAGUCGAACGAUAAAGCCCAGCUUGCUUGGUGGAUUAGUGGCGAACGGGUGAGUAACACGUGAGUAACCUGCCCUUUACUCUGGGAUAAGCCUGGGAAACUGGGUCUAAUACCGGAUAGGAGCGUCCACCGCAUGGUGGGUGUUGGGGAGAUUUAUCGGUUUUGGAUGUACUCGCGGCCUAUCAGCUUGUUGGUGUGGUAAUGGCUCACCAAGGCGACGACGGGUAGCCGGCCUGAGAGGGUGACCGGCCACCCUGGGACUGAGACACGGCCCAGACUCCUACGGGAGGCAGCAGUGGGGAAUAUUGCACAAUGGGCGCAAGCCUGAUGCAGCGACGCCGCGUGAGGGAUGACGGCCUUCGGGUUGUAAACCGCUUUCAGUAGGGAAGAAGCGAAAGUGACGGUACCUGCAGAAGAAGCACCGGCUAACUACGUG
rnacentral:rRNA from 1 species